GCGGACGUGGCGAAACUGGUAGACGCAAGAGACUUAAAAUCUCUCGGCCUUCGGCUAUGCGGGUUCGAUCCCCGCCGUCCGCA
rnacentral:tRNA from 1 species